UUUCAGCGGGGAGGAAGGCGGUGAGGUUAAUAACCUCACCGAUUGACGUUACCCGCAGAAGAAGCACCGGCUAACUCCGUGCCAGCAGCCGCGGUAAUACGGAGGGUGCAAGCGUUAAUCGGAAUUACUGGGCGUAAAGCGCACGCAGGCGGUCUGUCAAGUCGGAUGUGAAAUCCCCGGGCUUAACCUGGGAACUGCAUUCGA
rnacentral:rRNA from 1 species